GAGGUCUGACCUACAUACAGUAAGCCACACGUACACUUUUAUAAAUACACAACAAAUGAAGUGUUACAGGUUAUUCUAGUGGACACCUGAAAGCUCUCAUUAUUGGAAGAUGAGCAAAAAGUUCAACCUCCCAUGACAUAUAUAUUGACACGUAAGGCACCGUGUGGCACCACACUUAAAAUUCCCCACUCCACCUAACGCUGAUGUAUUAGGGGUUUCAAUAAAC